rnacentral:tRNA from 1 species
GUUCCCGUAGCUCAGUUGGAUAGAGCAUUCGCCUCCUAAGCGAAGGGUCGCAGGUUCAACUCCUGCCGGGAACG